UCCGUCGAGGACAGUGCUUCGGCAUUGGCCAACGAUAAAGUUGAUACGCUUCUAAUUAGCGCAGACUUCGAGUGCUGGCAAUUUUGACAACUUGGCCUCAAAUCAGGUAGGACUACCCACUGAACUUAAGCAUAUCAAUAAGUGGAGGAAAAGAAACUAACAAGGAUUCCCCUAGUAACGGCGAGUGAAGCGGGAAGAGCUCAAAUUUAAAAUCUGGCAGUCUACGAUUGUCCGAAUUGUAAUCUCGAGAAGUGUUUUCCGCGUUGGCCUGUGCACAAGUCCCUUGGAACAGGGCGUCAUAGAGGGUGAGAAUCCCGUCCUUGGCACAGAUACCCAAUGCUUUGUGAUACACUCUCAAUGAGUCGAGUUGUUUGGGAAUGCAGCUCAAAAUGGGAGGUAAAUUCCUUCUAAAGCUAAAUACUGGCGAGAGACCGAUAGCGAACAAGUACCGUGAGGGAAAGAUGAAAAGCACUUUGGAAAGAGAGUCAAACAGUACGUGAAAUUGUUGAAAGGGAAACGAUUGAAGUCAGUCGUGCCUGCCUAGAUUCAGCCUUCUGGUGUAUUUCUAGGUCGGCAGGUCAGCAUCAGUUUGGGAGGGUUAACAAGGGGAUUAGGAAUGUGGCAACCUCGGUUGUGUUAUAGCCUAGUUUCGUAUUGAUCUUGCUGGACUGAGGAACGCAGUGCGCCCGCAAGGGUAGGUCUUCGGACACUUCGCACU
rnacentral:rRNA from 1 species